UCACGGAGAGUUUGAUCCUGGCUCAGGACGAACGCUGGCGGCGUGCUUAACACAUGCAAGUCGAACGAUGAACCACUUCGGUGGGGAUUAGUGGCGAACGGGUGAGSAACACGUGGGCAAUCUGCCCUUCACUCUGGGACAAGCCCUGGAACGGGGUCUAAUACCGGAUACUGACCCUCGCAGGCAUCUGCGAGGUUCGAAAGCUCCGGCGGUGAAGGAUGAGCCCGCGGCCUAUCAGCUUGUUGGUGAGGUAAUGGCUCACCAAGGCGACGACGGGUAGCCGGCCUGAGAGGGCGACCGGCCACACUGGGACUGAGAACGGCCCAGACUCCUACGGGAGGCAGCAGUGGGGAAUGUUGCACAAUGGGCGAAAGCCUGAUGCAGCGACGCCGCGUGAGGGAUGACGGCCUUCGGGUUGUAAACCUCUUUCAGCAGGGAAGAAGCGAAAGUGACGGUACCUGCAGAAGAAGCGCCGGCUAACUAC
rnacentral:rRNA from 1 species